rnacentral:lncRNA from 1 species
UCUGACACGUAUGCAGGCCGUGAGCACAGGAUCACCUCCCCCUCCAUCCUGCAUCAUCCCAAGGAGCAGGGUUUGGCUGCAGUAGACUCCGCUGGACGGAGGGGGCGCAGCUCCAAGCCGAAGAGGAAGAGCAGGUCACGUGGAGGUCACAGAGACAAAGAGGCAGAGAGGAGAAGAAGAACACAGGUCUCAGGGAGAGGAGGAGAAGGAGGCUCAGGUUUACAAAGCCCUAACUCAGAGCAGAGAGGGACGUCUCGGGACGACCAGGACAGAAAGAGCAGGAGGAGGAGAAAAAGUAGGUCAAAGAGUUUACCCAGAGAUGGCCUCAGAAACACUGAAAACAGUGACACGGAGAAGAAGACUGGAAGGGCAAGGGUACCAGGAGAGGACAGGGGGAGGACCAGGAGUGAGGAAAGAGUGCAGAAACAACAUGAGGAAAAGUCUGAAGAGGAUGAAGAGCAGGAAGUUCUGGUUACUGCUGCAGAGGAAGCGAUAGACGAAGCAGAGCAACAGAUGGAAGAUAAAGUGGAGGAAAGAGAGAAAGUGGGAGAGGAUGAGGAGAAUGAAGAGGAGGAUGUCAUCCUGCCAAUUCCAGUUCAAACACAAAAACUUCCCAGGCCAAAACAAAACUGGGAGGCAGAGAGCGUGAUAAACUGGGACAUGACAGCAGAGUACAGAGAGCUGAGGAUAGGAGAGGAAGAGGAGGAGGAAGAAGAAGAGAGGUCAUGGAGUGACAUCAGAGACUUAAAGCCUCUCUACCAGGAGGACAACACUGCACUGGAACCUUUACCCAUCAUGUAUGCAGACAGGAAGCCCUUCUCCUUCCUCACCUCCUCGCUGUCCACAGAACAGCCAGCGGACGAUGACUCAGCGUCUGAAGGCAGCCAAUCAGAAAGUAUCCUGUCUGCUGCCAGUAUCUCAGGCCUCUCUGUGGCAGCUGGACGCAGGUCGCCCGCGCUGCCCGGCCCCUGGCACACACCCAGCAGGCAGAGGCUAGCUGAGGUAGCAGGGGGAGGAACCUGA